GAGACAUUAGUAAACCAAUUACGCAGCCUUGUCAAGGCCGUAUCACAGGUGAAAACCCUGUAUGCCUCC
rnacentral:tRNA from 1 species